GGAUGAACGCUGGCGGCGUGCUUAACACAUGCAAGUCGAACGAAGCACUCUUACUUGAUUUCUUCGGAAUGAAGGUUUUUGUGACUGAGUGGCGGACGGGUGAGUAACGCGUGAGAAACCUGCCUUUCAGUGGGGGGACAACAGUUGGAAACGACUGCUAAUACCGCAUAAUGUUAUUUGGGGGCAUCCCCGAAUAACCAAAGCUUUAUGUGCUGAAAGAUGGUCUCGCGUCUGAUUAGCUAGAUGGCGGGGUAACGGCCCACCAUGGCGACGAUCAGUAGCCGGUCUGAGAGGAUGAACGGCCACAUUGGGACUGAGAUACGGCCCAGACUCCUACGGGAGGCAGCAGUGGGGAAUAUUGGGGCAAUGGGGGAAACCCUGACCCAGCAACGCCGCGUGAAGGAAGAAGGCCUUCGGGUUGUAAACUUCUUUUACCAGGGACGAAGAAAGUGACGGUACCUGGAGAAAAAGCAACGGCUAACUACGUG
rnacentral:rRNA from 1 species